AUUGAACGCUGGCGGCAGGCCUAACACAUGCAAGUCGAGCGGAUGAAGGGUGCUUGCUCCUGGAUUCAGCGGCGGACGGGUGAGUAAUGCCUAGGAAUCUGCCUGGUUGUGGGGGAUAACGUCCGGAAACGGGCGCUAAUACCGCAUACGUCCUGAGGGAGAAAGUGGGGGAUCUUCGGACCUCACGCUAUCAGAUGAGCCUAGGUCGGAUUAGCUAGUUGGUGGGGUAAAGGCCUACCAAGGCGACGAUCCGUAACUGGUCUGAGAGGAUGAUCAGUCACACUGGAACUGAGACACGGUCCAGACUCCUACGGGAGGCAGCAGUGGGGAAUAUUGGACAAUGGGCGAAAGCCUGAUCCAGCCAUGCCGCGUGUGUGAAGAAGGUCUUCGGAUUGUAAAGCACUUUAAGUUGGGAGGAAGGGCAGUAAGUUAAAACCUUGCUGUUUUGACGUUACCAACAGAAUAAGCACCGGCUAACUUCGUG
rnacentral:rRNA from 1 species